UACGUAGGGGGCGAGCGUUGUCCGAAGUUACUGGGCGUUAAAGCGCGCGUAGGCGGCUCUUUAAGUCUGGUGUGAAAGGUUCAGGGGCUCAACCCGAACAGUUGCACUGGAUACUGGAGAGCUUGAGUUAGGGAGAGGAAGAGUGGAAUUCCUGGUGUAGCGGUGGAAUGCGUCAGAUAUACAGGAGGAACAGCCAAUGGCGAAGGCAGAUCUCUACGGGCCGUAACUGACGCUGAGGAGCGAAAGCAUGGGGAGCGAACAGG
rnacentral:rRNA from 1 species